rnacentral:rRNA from 1 species
GAUGAACGCUGGCGGCGUGCCUAAUACAUGCAAGUCGAGCGAAUGGAUUAAGAGCUUGCUCUUAUGAAGUUAGCGGCGGACGGGUGAGUAACACGUGGGUAACCUGCCCAUAAGACUGGGAUAACUCCGGGAAACCGGGGCUAAUACUGGAUAACAUUUUGAACCGCAUGGUUCGAAAUUGAAAGGCGGCUUCGGCUGUCACUUAUGGAUGGACCCGCGUCGCAUUAGCUAGUUGGUGAGGUAACGGCUCACCAAGGCAACGAUGCGUAGCCAACCUGAGAGGGUGAUCGGGCACACUGGGACUGAGACACGGCCCAGACUCCUACGGGAGGCAGCAGUAGGGAAUCUUCCGCAAUGGACGAAAGUCUGACGGAGCAACGCCGCGUGAGUGAUGAAGGCUUUCGGGUCGUAAAACUCUGUUGUUAGGGAAGAACAAGUGCUAGUUGAAUAAGCUGGCACCUUGACGGUACCUAACCAGAAAGCCACGGCUAACUACGUGCCAGCCGCCGCCGUAA